AAUAAGAGUAUGAAGAACUUACUUUAUGACCUGAAAUAUGUUACCUGAGGGAAUACUAUGGGACCACCAGCAAGACCACCUUAUACUAGGUUGACAAUGCACUCAAAAGGCUGAAAAACAUAGUAAACCACCCCAAACAGACAUUAUUCAAAUCACUCAUAAUUUCUCUCAUACUUUAUCACUAUUUCAAACUCCUAGGCUCUGAUACCAAAAGGAUGAUCUUG
rnacentral:misc_RNA from 1 species